CGCCGCCGGUCAUAUAGAGUGCUCCGCCCGCCACCGCAUAUGUAGAAAGGGGGCGGGGAAGGAAGAAAAACCGUUUGACUUUGGCACACGAGGUGGCGGGUUUGGCUGGGUAACAUAAUGGAAAUGUAUCGGACUGCAAAUCCUGGAAUGACGGUUCGACCCCGUCCUUGGCCUCGGGGAGUGGCGAGCAGCACGGAACUUUCAUUAAUCAAAUGGCAUAAAGAAAGGGGGGGCUUUCCUUUGUUAGAAAUCCACAGACAACAUUAUGGAACUUCCAAACCAAAGAAAUGCAACAUGAGAAGUUUUACGUUACGCUUCAAUAGAAUGAAUUCGGUAAGGGUAGAAUACGCCCCAUGGUCGAUCGAAGGUCCUGUGCCACUUGAACUCAAAUCUAUCUUACCUUCCAUCCAUCUUUGUCCAGCCAGCCUGCUCAUAAAUGUUAGACCAACCGGGCUGACACAACCGAAUUGGUUGAGGAAAAGGAAACCCCAGCGACCAAGCACUCCCGCCUCCAACAAAAAGCGGAGACCGAACAAACGCCAGGUUGUCGAAGACACGUCUGAAGAGGAGGCGCCCUCUAAGUUGACCACCCUACCCACUAAUGGACUAUGAGGGGGGGCAGGCGAACGGGAACCGACCGAGAACCCGAACCGCUUGACUGACCCCUUCAUACAUACUCGAUUCAUUAGGGUCGGGGAUGGAUUAAACAAAAAAAAGUGCAAAAAAUCGCGCAAGCGAAGCCGGGAAACGGACCGCAGCGCAACGACUAGGACUCGUGUCGGAGGAGUUUUGAGCGUGAGCUACCACUCAUGCAGCGGCAAGGACCCGCAACUCUCGAAGGGGCCACCAACCGCCCGAAUCACUUUAGUGUAGGAAAGCCUCCCUUUACUCAAUGGAUAGCGCUUAUCCUCUUUCAAUCAAAAAAAUGAUAAAUGGAGGAGAAAGAAAGAGGUCUUUCUUGAAGAGGCUUUGCACCUAGGACUAAUAAAGAUCCAGAAGAAUGGGUCUAGGCUUUCGAAAAGAUGAAGGGUAAAGAUAUUUUAUCUUUUGAACAACCAACCUGACAUAAGGAUUAUAGCUCGCCCAGUUAGAGCAGAUGGAGAUUCUCGGACGGGGAAAAGCGGCACUCGACAUCUAUUCUAUUAAACAACACCAAGAACAAAGCCAUACCAUGCCCUCGGGAUAAACUAGUGAUGAUUGCCAUGAAUGCAGCCCUCGAGGACGUGUACAAGAAGGUCUUUGCCGAUUCCUAUCAACAUGGUGCACCUCUAAGUAGAGGGGCGUGAAAACGCCGUGGAGACUUUGACCGAAUGAAUAGGUAUCAAUUGAUAGACAUUUUGAUUGAGGAAGAUAAUCCAGGAUGAACGCUUUUUUCGUUCGCUAUGUGCUGACUGGAUGCUCGCGUGAUCGAUCGAUGGACGGGGGAAUUGCAUGAAUGACGAGACCGGCCUAACCGAAAGUCAAGGCUCUUCCCUCUCUUGAUGGCGAAUCUUGAUUGACUGACAGACGGAACCGAUUCGGAGAAACAAGAAGCAUGGCAUGAGAUACGCGGCGGCUAAAUUUCCGAUAGCGAAUUACUUGACUCGAUGGAUGGAUGGAGGGAGGGCCCUCCAACUCAAGCACGAAAUCAAUGUUGAGUCAACAAUCAUCGAGACCAGCACCUUUUAUAUAUAGGUUGGGGAAAAGCCCCUUGUAUAGGGUUCCGUUCCAAACCAGCGCUUCUUUUAAUAUCCCAACCAUAAAGAAAGUAGGGGCUUCAAAGCUUGACUAACAAGCGAGAAAGUUUACUUUGAGAAAGUUCGUCCCUCUCCAAGAGGAUGCGCGAACCUCCAAGGCUUUCUCUGAUAGGGGGUUGCGGGUCGAGCGUCUUCAAACCUUAGCCUAUCUAUACUAUAGUAAGGGGCCUUUUCUUGCUCGUUAGCGCUGUUUUUUGAUUGCAGGGCGCUAGCUUACUAAAAUGUCAAUAAUAUAGGGCUUUUUUCUUUCAUCUUUCAGCUUGAUCGGAAUCUAUUCUAUGAUUGAAUAGCAGAAGUGCUACUUAGUAGUAUAAACUCGGAGAGACUGACAGAGAGGCAAUCAUACCUGCUAACUCCUAGGAUGAUAAGUAGGUCCCUUGUUUUUGGCAGGAAUAGUUCAAUUGUAGCCCCUCGGGAGAGUGAGUCUACUUAGCGAACUGGCAGGACGCGGAGAUCGAUUGAUCAAUAUGAAUCUCGAGAGUGGAUGGUUGACCGCCUCCCCCUUGUCCUGGAGGCUCUCCGGCCGAGGAGGGGCUUGCUAUCGUAACCUUUUCUCCCGGUGUAUGUGAAAAAGAGUGACGAACCUUUUUUUGUUCGGUCAUAGGUUGGUGUCCAAAGAACGAGAGUCGACUUCCUUAACUUAAGUCCGUUCUUCCUUAGUAGCUCAGUGGUAGAGCGGUCGGCUGUUAACCGAUUGGUCGUAGGUUCAAAUCCUACUUGGGGAGAAUUUUGAGUUAUCGCUUUUCUGACCUAGCGACCCCUGUCCCUCCCUUGAGUUUCUAAACUAGCAGAAUCGUGGGACAUCAAAAGUGGGAAGUUUAUUGUGUUUUUUUUUUAUAUUUCUUACUCCCUUUUUUAGUUUAGGAACAUGGCUCGUUCAUUCAUUCACUUGCUCAUGAACUCGCAGCUUCGCUAGAAGCGACUAGGGGGGAGCUGUCGUAGAAGCUUUGCCCUUUGUACAGAGAUUGUUAUGAACUGACUAAAUGACUAGCGGAACACUAGCUAAGCUAAAAAAAAGUAUUAGUUCCCAAAAUCAAUAAGCUUUAUUUCGGGUUUUUUUCCCUCCUUCUUAGAACCGGGGCCUGGGCACGGGAAGGGGAGAGUGGUCGAGUGGUCAAAAGCGACAGACUGUAAACCUGUUGAAGUUUUUCUACGUAGGUUCGAAUCCUGCCUCUCCCAG
rnacentral:lncRNA from 1 species